UGAUACGAUUAGAUUUGGAUAGAUUUAUUGCUCCAUGCAGGAGAUCUUCAUUAUUAAGAGAGAGAGAGAGAGGGGUGGGGGGUGGUGUGUGGUAGAUGAGAGGGCGAGAAAGAGGGAGACACUCAGCCCUGUCUCCACCCUUAGAGCAUCAAACUAUCGUUCCACGACCACCGCUCCCUUCAUCAGCGUCCAGAGAACCUCGUGGUACCAAUCCGGCCGCCUGGGGUGGCCAGCAGCUGAAGAUACAGUCAGGUCGGGUCACCUUGCCGCGAAUACCAGGCCAUUCAGUUGCAGUUUCCGUCAUUUGAACCUCCUCAGAGCAUAGCCAGCCACGGGCGACGUCCUGUCUGCAACUCCCGCGACCAGAGCUUUCUCCGACUCUUUGGGGAUCUGUAAUGUUUUGAAUGUCGGCACUGGUUUUUUGUUGAAAUCCAGCAGCUUUACCUGCAUAGAGUUAAUAACUCAAAAUUUAUUGAAACAGAGCAGGUUUCAAGAAACUGAAUCCUUCAAUUUUUUCUUGUUUCACAAUCAUGAAGAGAAAAAAAAAUUCGGUUUCCAAGUCUUUAGCCGAAGCUGAAUAUAGGAGUAUGGCAGUGCAGCAACUGUAUGUGAGCUCUUUUGGAUUUCUUGCGUGUUAAGAGAUAUGAUGGUCCAAGUGCAGCUACCUGUUCCUUUCAUGUAUGACAACCAGGCAGCCAUUCACAUAGCUAGCAAUCUUGUCUUCCAUGAGACGACUAAGCAUCUUGAUAUUGAUUGCCAUCUGGUCAGAGAACAAUUGCAGAAAGGGUUGAUUAAGCCUUGUCAUCUUGCUUCUGCUCAGCAAGUCGCUGAUGUCUUUACAAAGCCUCUAGGAUCAUCGUUCUCUUGUUUUCAAGUUGGGUCUGGUGUACCUUCCCCAAACUCCAACUUGAGGGGGAUACUGGCAGAUAACAAGAAUUAUUUAUUUUUAAUUAGCUACAUUUCACUUUGUUAGCUAAUUUUUAGUAACUAAUUUAUUAUCAUUUCAAUUGAUAAUAGAAUUUUUUUAUUUAAAA